CAGUCGCCGCGGUAAGACAGAGGAUGCAAGCGUUAUCCGGAAUGAUUGGGCGUAAAGGGCUCGCAGGCGGUUUCUUAAGUCUGAUGUGAAAGCCCCCGGCUCAACCGGGGAGGGUCAUUGGAAACUGGGAAACUUGAGUGCAGAAGAGGAGAGUGGAAUUCCACGUGUAGCGGUGAAAUGCGUAGAGAUGUGGAGGAACACCAGUGGCGAAGGCGACUCUCUGGUCUGUAACUGACGCUGAGGAGCGAAAGCGUGGGGAGCGGACAGGAUUAGAUACCCCCGUAGUCCCUGUCUCUUAUAA
rnacentral:rRNA from 1 species